CACGAACGCUGGCGGCGUUCUUAACACAUCCAAGUCAAACGGAAAGGCCCUUCUUUUUUGGUGUGCUCGAGUGGCUAACGGCUGAGUAACCCGGGAGUAACCUGCCCUUUACUUUGGGAUAACUUCAGGAAACUGGGGCUACUAGCUGAUAGGAGCGCCUGCUGCAUGUUGCGUGUUGGAUAGUUUCGGCUGUUGGGGAUGGACUCCCGGCUUAUCAUCUUGUUGGUGGGGUAGUGGCUUACCAAGGCUUUGACGGGUAGCCGGCCUGAGAGGGUGACCGGCCACAUUGGGACUGAGAUACGGCCCAGACUCCUACGGGAGGCAGCAGUGGGGAAUAUUGCACAAUGGGCGGAAGCCUGAUGCAGCAACGCCGCGUGCGGGAUGACGGCCUUCGGGUUGUAAACCGUUUUCGCCUGUGACGAAGCGUGAGUGACGGUAAUGGGUAAAGAAGCACCGGCUAACUACGUG
rnacentral:rRNA from 1 species